rnacentral:rRNA from 1 species
GUAAUGCAGCUGACGGUACCAUCAAAGGAAGCACCGGCUAACUCCGUGCCAGCAGCCGCGGUAAUACGGAGGGUGCAAGCGUUGUUCGGAAUCACUGGGCGUAAAGGGAGCGUAGGCGGACCCUGAAAGUCUGAUGUGAAAGCCCGGGGCUCAACUCCGGAAGUGCAUUGGAAACUUCAGGGUCUUGAGUUCGGGAGAGGAAGGCAGAAUUCCCGGUGUAGGGCUGGGAUGCA